rnacentral:rRNA from 1 species
UAUACGGUGAAACUGCGAAUGGCUCAUUAAAUCAGUUAUCGUUUAUUUGAUAGUACCUUACUACUUGGAUAACCGUGGUAAUUCUAGAGCUAAUACAUGCUAAAAACCCCAACUUCGGAAGGGGUGUAUUUAUUAGAUAAAAAACCAAUGCCCUUCGGGGCUCCUUGGUGAUUCAUAAUAACUUAACGAAUCGCAUGGCCUUGUGCCGGCGAUGGUUCAUUCAAAUUUCUGCCCUAUCAACUUUCGAUGGUAGGAUAGUGGCCUACCAUGGUUUCAACGGGUAACGGGGAAUUAGGGUUCUAUUCCGGAGAGGGAGCCUGAGAAACGGCUACCACAUCCAAGGAAGGCAGCAGGCGCGCAAAUUACCCAAUCCCGACACGGGGAGGUAGUGACAAUAAAUACUGAUACAGGGCUCUUUUGGGUCUUGUAAUUGGAAUGAGUACAAUUUAAAUCCCUUAACGAGGAACAAUUGGAGGGCAAGUCUGGUGCCAGCAGCCGCGGUAAUUCCAGCUCCAAUAGCGUAUAUUAAAGUUGUUGCAGUUAAAAAGCUCGUAGUUGAACCUUGAACUUGGUUGGUUGGUCCGCCUCACCGCGUGCACUGAUCCGACCGGGUUUUUCCUUCUGGGGAGCCGCAUGUCCUUCAUUGGGUGUGUCGGGGAACCAGGACUUUUACUUUGAAAAAAUUAGAGUGUUCAAAGCAGGCCUAUGCUCGAAUACAUUAGCAUGGAAUAAUAGAAUAGGACGUGUGUCUCUAUUUUGUUGGUUUCUAGGGACGCCGUAAUGAUUAAUAGGGAUAGUCGGGGGCAUCAGUAUUCCGUUGUCAGAGGUGAAAUUCUUGGAUUUACGGAAGACUAACUACUGCGAAAGCAUUUGCCAAGGAUGUUUUCAUUAAUCAGUGAACGAAAGUUAGGGGAUCGAAGACGAUCAGAUACCGUCGUAGUCUUAACCAUAAACUAUGCCGACUAGGGAUCGGGCGAUGUUAUCUUUUUGACUCGCUCGGCACCUUACGAGAAAUCAAAGUCUUUGGGUUCU